rnacentral:lncRNA from 1 species
GGACACUCUGGGAAAUGCUGUAGAGAACAAAGACGGCAGCUAGAGAUUUGAGAGAAAAAAGGACAACUCAGGAGAGGGGGCGAUUACAAAAGUCGUGUUUCAGGUCGUGGACUCAAAGUGAUCAGAGAACCAGAAUGGCUCAAUUCAGCAGAAGGACCACAGACUGAUGCCAAGCAGAUGUGACUUCACAUGCUGGGGUUGACAGACUGAUGCCAAACAGACGUGACUUCACAUGCUGGUGUUGACGUGUAUUCAUGACAUUUGAGACUCAGUUCUCUUUUUUCUAAAAGAGGAUGACAAGUUCUUACCUGUGUGGUUGUUGGGAGGAUUAAAAUUUUGGGCCUAGUGCCUAACAAAGUACUGAGCAAAUGUUAGCUAUUGCUGAUGCUGUUCUACUGUAACUGUGAGUUUUAACUUAUGAAGAUGAUGGCAAUGAUAAAGUCUGGCCAAUAGUCCUGGGCAGAGUGGGCCAAGUCCAUCAGACCGGCAAAGGCUGGGGCCAGGGAUGCAAGGAGCUCCAGCGGACCCUUUCCAGGAGUUUAGCCUUCGAUUCUAGGAAAUGCAAUAAAGUAAGCCCAGGACAGAUGCUGGCGUCGGGCUGCCGUAGGGUGAGCAGACGAGUCAUCCUGGCUUAGAGGGAUGUGGAGGGUGGAUUCCACUGGGCUAUAAAAUCUAUGAGUAGAAAGAGGCGUGGGCUGGUUUUGUUGCCUUUUCUAAAUUGUGCUGUUUGCACUGAGUUCUGUUUCAGUGAAUCCUGAGAGAGCCUCUGUCUAGAGACCAGAGUGAGACGAUGGAGGAGGUGGGAGGUAGAGGCCCCGCGGCCGCCUCUUCCUGGGCCUGCAGCGCCCUCUUGUGGCUCAGAGCCAGAGCAUCCACUCCAGGAUUCUGCAGGUGCUGCUGCAGAAGGGGUGCUCCUGGGCUUCCCACCCUCCUAGGGGCUGUGCUGUGUGGCUUCUCUUUGGAACCCGGAGCCCUGAGAGAGAAGGAAGAGGAGGGAAGACCUCCCGUCGUGUUCCAAGAUGGGCGCCUGUGAUGGACCUCAGGUGUGCUAACUGGCCAGAUGACCUGCAAUUAUCUGCCUAGGCUCUUUGAGCCUGGGUCCUCAUAGCUGUGUUAUGAGAUGAAAGAAGGCAGACAGUGUACCUGGAAGCACCUUGUUUUCUGACACCCAGUAGUUUCACAUUAAAAAUUAGUUAUCUUGCCUUCAAUAUUUUCCUUUCUCUGCUAGAUAAAAUUGCUAAAAUCCAGAGAAGUGAGCCUUCUGUUCUUUUAAUAGAUGCUAGUCCAG